AGCCGCCGCGGUAAUACCGGCAGCCCAAGUGAUGGCCGAUCUUAUUGGGCCUAAAGCGUCCGUAGCUGGCCACGCAAGUCCAUCGGGAAAUCCACCUGCCCAACAGGUGGGCGCCCGGUAGAAACUGCGUGGCUUGGGACCGGAAGGCGCGACGGGUACGUCCGGGGUAGGAGUGAAAUCCCGUAAUCCUGGACGGACCGCCGAUGGCGAAAGCACGUCGCGAGAACGGAUCCGACAGUGAGGGACGAAAGCCAGGGUCUCGAACCGGAUUAGAUACCCGGGUAGUCCUGGCCGUAAACAAUGUCUGCUAGGUGUGGCUCCCACUACGAGUGGGUGCUGUGCCGCAGGGAAGCCGCUAAGCAGACCGCCUGGAA
rnacentral:rRNA from 1 species